CCUACGGGAGGCAGCAGUGGGGGAUAUUGCACAAUGGGGGGAACCCUGAUGCAGCGACGCCGCGUGGGUGAAGAAGCGCCUCGGCGCGUAAAGCCCUGUCAGCAGGGAAGAAAAUGACGGUACCUGAAGAAGAAGCCCCGGCUAACUACGUGCCAGCAGCCGCGGUAAGACGUAGGGGGCAAGCGGUAUCCGGAAGUACUGGGGGGAAAGGGGGCGCAGACGGGGAUGCGAGCCAGGGGGGAAAGCCCGGGGGCCAACCCCGGGACUGCGGUUGGAACUGCGUGGCUGGAGUGGAGGAGGGGCAGGCGGAAUUCCUGGUGUAGCGGUGAAAUGCGGAGAUAUCAGGAAGAACACCGGUGGCGAAGGCGGCCUGCUGG
rnacentral:rRNA from 1 species